AUUGAACGCUGGCGGCAGGCCUAACACAUGCAAGUCGAACGGUAGCACAGAGAGCUUGCUCUCGGGUGACGAGUGGCGGACGGGUGAGUAAGGUCUGGGAAACUGCCCGAUGGAGGGGGAUAACUACUGGAAACGGCAGCUAAUACCGGAUAACGUCGCAAGUCCAAAGUGGGGGACCUACGCGCCUCGCACCAUCGGAUGUGCCCAGAUGGGAUUAGCUGGAAGGUGGGGUAAUGGCUCACCUAGGGGACGAUCCCUAGCUGGUCUGAGAGGAUUACCAGCCACACUUGAACUAAGACACGGUCCAGACGCCUACGGGAGGCAGCAGUGGGGAAUAUUGCACAAUGGGCGCAAGCCUGAUGCAGCCAUGCCGCGUGUAUGAAGAAGGCCUUCGGAUUAUAAAGUACUUUCAGCAGGGAGGAAGGCGGUGGAGUUAAUAACUUCACCGAUUGACGUUACCCGCAGAAGAAGCACCGGCUAACUCCGUGCCAGCAGCCGCAGUAA
rnacentral:rRNA from 1 species